CUCUUAUCACGAGAGGCGGAGGGAAUAGGCCCUACGAUGCCCGGCAACCAACAGGCUCAUGUCUGGAAAGGUGCUAAAUCCUACAGCGCGCAUUUGCGUCGCUGAAAGAUAAGAG
rnacentral:ncRNA from 1 species